ACACCUUUUCAAUACUAUUUCACUCUCAUUCUCUCUUCUUCAUUCAUUCUAUUUGCUCCCUUCUCUGUCCAUACAUUCCCAGCGAGAGAUAUUUUCGGGUUCUCCUUCUCCCAUUCCAAGCGCCUUCCACAGGUAAGAAGCUAUGUCUUUUUACAGGUAGCUCUUCAUCAUGUUUUGUUGUGAGCUUUAUAAGUUGAUUUUAUAAAGUUUUGAUUUUUAUAAAGUUUUGAGAUUUUAAAGUUUUGAUUUUUAUAAAUCAGUGAGAUUUCUACAGUUUAGAUUUUAUGCAGUUAAGAGAUUUCAAAAGUUUUGGAAACGUAAAUCUGUGUAUGUGAUGUAUUGAUGAGAAUGUUUGGAAAAUCAACACCAUCUAUGUCAUAUUCAUGUGUUUUAGUUUCAUAAUCGUGUAAACAUGUUCAUGGAGGUUCAUGUUUCGAAUUGUGUGUUUAAGAGUCCAAACUUUUGUAUAUUUCGGUCUGGUUAUAGCUGCGAGUUUAUUUUCCAAACCCUGGUAUGCUGAUGUUCCAGAGUAUAACCUGUAACAAAUUUGUUAGGAACUAAGAAACUGAGGUUUGCUUGUAUAAAGUUGUGAUUUUUAUAAAGUUUUGAUUUUUAUAAACUUUAUGUCUAACAAAAAUUGGUUUGUUUUUUAGUUUUCUGACCAACCAUUCUAGACCACCUAUUAUGAAUUUUCUCUUAAUUUUGUUUUGUAUCUCAGUCACCUGCAAACUAUCUAUAAUCAUCCUCCUUGAUGAAAGGUUUGUUUUUUGAAAAUCUGUGCCAAGGUGAUGUUUUUUUUAGCUUUUAUAGCAUUUAUAUGCAUCUUCAUUAUAUUGUAGCUUACUACUUGAUUACUGAUAUUGUAAUUUGUACUACUAUGGUUUCUGAUCAUGCUUGGGAUUCUUCACUUUUCACCGCAAUUGCUGGAAGCAGAAAAAUCACCCUUGGUUGUUGCAAUUUCUGGAAGAGUAGUUUCUGAAAAAUCACAAGCAAGGUAGUUCUGUACAUACUGGUACAAUUAUUGAUAUAUUAAGGUGCCUUUUGAAGAUCUCCCAGGUUACCAAGCAUAUAUCACAUGUUGAGAGAUGCAUGGAGGUUCUAUUUUCCUUAUUACCAAUUAUGAACCCCUCUAGCAAUGUAAUUCAGGGGACACAAGUUCUGCAGAGGGGUCUGAGGCUGUAAGAUGCUUAGGGAAGGCUCCACAGAGUUGGCUAUUGGAUUUCUUGAAGAAUGGCUUCACUUUGCUCGUGAUUUCAAACACAAGGCAGAAAAUCAUGUCAAGACCACCAACUAAAAUGGGAGUCAUGUCUACAUACAAUGCUCAUAAAUACACAAGCCAAAUUCAGUUUCUGAAAUGAGACAUAGCUGUGUAAGCUGGUACGAGGAAAGAAUCUUCAGCAGGCUGAACCUCAUUGCCUCAUAGGUCCAAUUCUCUUACAGAGGAAACUGAUACAUAUACUAUCGAUAGAUACUGAUGUUCUUGGCAUGAAGAGAGUAGCAAGGAAGUGGAGUUUGUGAGACUGAGUUGUAUUAGAGUAUAAGCUUAGCAUACCUUAAACUAUUUUCCAUAAGAUAUACCAUGUAUUAACAUAACUUUUUUUCAAUUUACUGGGUAAAUCACAUAUAUAAACUUGAUUCCAUCUCAAUUGGUUUUAUAUUAGUUCGGUUCCAUCUCUAUAGAGUCAAAUAUAUAAUAAGUUAAAAUUUAUUAUUAUUAUUAAUAUAUCAUAUUUCUGUUA